rnacentral:lncRNA from 1 species
ACUUUUGAAGAUGAUGGACUGCUGCACUGAUGGGAUUUAUUUCUAACUGCUUCCAUGUCCUCCUGAGAGGAAAUAUGACAGCACUAUAACAAUCUGAAUGUGAAAACAAGCAUUUCACGGCUGCAGAUAAAAAGAACAUCUGAAGCGGUAGUGUAAUUAUCUACUGCAACAUAACUUUUCUUUAUGUCGUCCAGCUGCCCCCGUCUCAACUCAGCUAACUGCUAAUGUAUCUACCAUUGGCGUGCAACUGAACGGGGUUCAGCAGCCUCCCAGUGAACAUAACCUCCAGACAGAGAGUUUGAUGACAGUGGUACCAAGGAGAUUUAUGUUGAUUCCAGAUGGACUUAUUGCCAACCUUAAUGUUAGAUGCUGUUAACUGGUGCAGUUAACGUUAGCCAACUUAGCCCCUGGGUGGCAGGAGCCAAACCCAACAACCAAAGCACCUUGGCAGGUACUGCCAAGACUCUGAACAACAAUCAAUACAACACACCACAUGGACUGAAACACUGGCAUCUGGCACCUGUUGGUCAUAGAGUUCAGCCCUUUUAAGACUUUGCACUCAAACAUUUUUUAGACUU